rnacentral:rRNA from 1 species
CAGCAGCCGCGGUAAUACGAAGGGGGCUAGCGUUGCUCGGAAUGACUGGGCGUAAAGGGCGCGUAGGCGGUUCGUUAAGUCUGUUGUGAAAGCCCCGGGCUCAACCUGGGAAUGGCAAUGGAUACUGGCGAGCUAGAGUGUGUCAGAGGAUGGUGGAAUUCCCGGUGUAGCGGUGAAAUGCGUAGAGAUCGGGAGGAACGCCCGUGGCGAAAGCGAGCCACUGGACCAUUUCUGACGCUGAUACACGAAAGCUAGGGGAGCAAACAGGAUUAGAUACCCGCGUAGUCCCUGUCUCUUAUAC